rnacentral:rRNA from 1 species
AGAAUCAACGCUGGCGGCGUGCCUAACACAUGCAAGUCGAACGAGAAAGGGGAGCAAUCCCUGAGUAAAGUGGCGACCGGGUGAGUAACACGUGACUAACCUACCCUCGAGUGUGGAAUAACAUCGGGAAACCGAUGCUAAUACCGCAUAACAUCGGCGCUUUUAAGAGAUGCCGAUCAAAGGAGCAAUCCGCUUGAGGAGGGGGUCGCGGCUGAUUAGCUAGUUGGCGGGGUAACGGCCCACCAAGGCGAAGAUCGGUAGCCGGCCUGAGAGGGCGCACGGCCACACUGGAACUGAAACACGGUCCAGACUCCUACGGAGGCAGCAGUGGGGAAUUUUGCGCAAUGGGGGAAACCCUGACGCAGCAACGCCGCGUGGAGGAUGAAGCCCCUUGGGGCGUAAACUCCUUUCGACCAAGACGAUAAUGGCGGUACUGGUGGAAGAAGCACCGGCUAACUCUGCGCCAGCAGCCGC